rnacentral:rRNA from 1 species
CCUACGGGUGGCAGCAGUGAGGAAUAUUGGUCAAUGGGCGCGAGCCUGAACCAGCCAAGUCGCGUGAGGGAGGACGGCCCUACGGGUUGUAAACCUCUUUUGCCGGGGAGCAACGGGCGUCACGUGUGGCGCCACUGAGAGUACCCGGAGAAAAAGCAUCGGCUAACUCCGUGCCAGCAGCCGCGGUAAUACGGAGGAUGCGAGCGUUAUCCGGAUUUAUUGGGUUUAAAGGGUGCGUAGGCGGAUCGUUAAGUCAGUGGUCAAAUUGAGGGGCUCAACCCCGGCGAGCCGUUGAAACUGGCGGGCUGGAGUUGGAGAGAAGUACGCGGAAUGCGCGGUGUAGCGGUGAAAUGCUUAGAUAUCGCGCAGAACCCCGAUUGCGAAGGCAGCGUACCGGCUCCACACUGACGCUGAGGCACGAAAGCGUGGGUAUCGAACAGGAUUAGAUACCCUAGUAGUC